rnacentral:rRNA from 1 species
ACCUCACCUUUAGUAGUCUUUAUAUACCGCCGUUGAAAGGUAAUUUUGAAGAAAAAAGAUACGAGCGUGAUGUAUAUUUUGGAAAAUUUUAUACAGGAAUUCAGGUACACGUAUAGGAUCUAAAGGGUUUAGCUGAGUUACAAUUAUAAAAUAAGACGGAUUUGCUAAUGAAAUAUUAACAGGAAGGUGUACUUAUUAGUAAAUUUUUAUAAGAGAGGAAAGUUGAAUAGGGUAAUUGGAGUGCGUACAAAUCGCCCGAUAUCCUACGUGUUAAAUCGAGGUAAGUCGUAACAUAGUAAUGCUAAUAUAAAUUGGUGUUAUAUAGAAGGUAAGCUAAAUGGAGCUGUUUGGGUAAUACCCAUACUGUAGAAUAAUAUUCUUCUUUUAUAUAGAAGGGUAGGAUAAAAUAGAAAAUUUUACUAAGGAAGAAGGUUAAAUGAAUGUAUUUAGUAUUUAAAUAUUAAAUUGAAGUAAAUUGCGACGAAGCAAUAUUGGUAGUGUAAUUAAUGUUGUGUAAAAGAUAAACUAAGUAAAGUUAUUUGGUUCAUACCCAUAUUAUAGAAUUAAUAUUCUUCUUUUUAAAGGCCUUGUAACUUAGUAAAGUUCUAAAUUGCAGUCUUAGAAAAGGAGUUGUUCCCCUGGUCUGAAAGUUGAAUAGGCGGCUGUAGAAGUGUUAAGUUGUAACCUUAAUUAUAGGUAUUUACCUCCUUUUUAUUAGGAAGAAAAGGAACUAUAGCAGUGAGGUUUAUAAUUUGUGAUUUAAUUUGUUUUAAUGAGUGUUCUUAUUGUGGUAGUUUUUAGAGUACUGUUAGAAUCAAGUAAUGGAAAGAAUUAUAUUUUAAAAGUAUUUUUUUAAAGUGUGG